CCUCGUUGAUUGGGAUAGCUACGCGAAAGUGUAGGUAAUACCGGAUAAGUUGCACAGAUAAUUUUUGUGCAAGAAAGGCUAGGCGCAAGUCUGGCGCGAUGAGAUGGGCUCAUGUCCUAUUAGCUAGUUGGCGGGGUAACGGCCCACCAAGGCGAAGAUGGGUAACUGGUCUGAGAGGACGAUCAGUCACACUGGAACUGAGACACGGUCCAG
rnacentral:rRNA from 1 species